UACAGAGGUCUCAAGCGUUGUUCGGAUUCAUUGGGCGUAAAGGGUGCGUAGGCGGCGCGGUAAGUCGGAUGUGAAAUCUCGGGGCUUAACUCCGAAACUGCAUUUGAUACUGGCGUGCUUGAGGACUGGAGAGGAGACUGGAAUUCACGGUGUAGCAGUGAAAUGCGUAGAGAUCGUGAGGAAGACCAGUGGCGAAGGCGGGUCUCUGGACAGUUCCUGACACUGAGGCACGAAAGCUAGGGGAGCAAACGGG
rnacentral:rRNA from 1 species